UACGUAGGGUGCAAGCGUUGUCCGGAAUUAUUGGGCGUAAAGAGCUCGUAGGCGGUUUGUUGCGUCGGCUGUGAAAUCCCGAGGCUCAACCUCGGGUCUGCAGUCGAUACGAGCAAACUAGAGUGUUGCAGGGGAGACUGGAAUUCCUGGUGUAGCGGUGAAAUGCGCAGAUAGUCAGGAGGAACACCGGUGGCGAAGGCGGGUCUCUGGGCGAACAACUGACGCUGGAGGAGCGAAAGCGUGGGGAGCGAACAGGAUUAGACUACCCUGGU
rnacentral:rRNA from 1 species